GCGAACCGGGGGAACUGAAACAUCUAAGUACCCCGAGGAAAAGAAAUCAACCGAGAUUCCCCCAGUAGCGGCGAGCGAACGGGGAGCAGCCCAGAGCCUGAAUCAGUGUGUGUGUUAGUGGAAGCGUCUGGAAAGGCGCGCGAUACAGGGUGACAGCCCCGUACACAAAAAUGCACAUGCUGUGAGCUCGAUGAGUAGGGCGGGACACGUGGUAUCCUGUCUGAAUAUGGGGGGACCAUCCUCCAAGGCUAAAUACUCCUGACUGACCGAUAGUGAACCAGUACCGUGAGGGAAAGGCGAAAAGAACCCCGGCGAGGGGAGUGAAAAAGAACCUGAAACCGUGUACGUACAAGCAGUGGGAGCACGCUUAGGCGUGUGACUGCGUACCUUUUGUAUAAUGGGUCAGCGACUUAUAUUCUGUAGCAAGGUUAACCGAAUAGGGGAGCCGAAGGGAAACCGAGUCUUAACUGGGCGUUAAGUUGCAGGGUAUAGACCCGAAACCCGGUGAUCUAGCCAUGGGCAGGUUGAAGGUUGGGUAACACUAACUGGAGGACCGAACCGACUAAUGUUGAAAAAUUAGCGGAUGACUUGUGGCUGGGGGUGAAAGGCCAAUCAAACCGGGAGAUAGCUGGUUCUCCCCGAAAGCUAUUUAGGUAGCGCCUCGUGAAUUCAUCUCCGGGGGUAGAGCACUGUUUCGGCAAGGGGGUCAUCCCGACUUACCAACCCGAUGCAAACUGCGAAUACCGGAGAAUGUUAUCACGGGAGACACACGGCGGGUGCUAACGUCCGUCGUGAAGAGGGAAACAACCCAGACCGCCAGCUAAGGUCCCAAAGUCAUGGUUAAGUGGGAAACGAUGUGGGAAGGCCCAGACAGCCAGGAUGUUGGCUUAGAAGCAGCCAUCAUUUAAAGAAAGCGUAAUAGCUCACUGGUCGAGUCGGCCUGCGCGGAAGAUGUAACGGGGCUAAACCAUGCACCGAAGCUGCGGCAGCGACGCUUAUGCGUUGUUGGGUAGGGGAGCGUUCUGUAAGCCUGUGAAGGUGUGCUGUGAGGCAUGCUGGAGGUAUCAGAAGUGCGAAUGCUGACAUAAGUAACGAUAAAGCGGGUGAAAAGCCCGCUCGCCGGAAGACCAAGGGUUCCUGUCCAACGUUAAUCGGGGCAGGGUGAGUCGACCCCUAAGGCGAGGCCGAAAGGCGUAGUCGAUGGGAAACAGGUUAAUAUUCCUGUACUUGGUGUUACUGCGAAGGGGGGACGGAGAAGGCUAUGUUGGCCGGGCGACGGUUGUCCCGGUUUAAGCGUGUAGGCUGGUUUUCCAGGCAAAUCCGGAAAAUCAAGGCUGAGGCGUGAUGACGAGGCACUACGGUGCUGAAGCAACAAAUGCCCUGCUUCCAGGAAAAGCCUCUAAGCAUCAGGUAACAUCAAAUCGUACCCCAAACCGACACAGGUGGUCAGGUAGAGAAUACCAAGGCGCUUGAGAGAACUCGGGUGAAGGAACUAGGCAAAAUGGUGCCGUAACUUCGGGAGAAGGCACGCUGAUAUGUAGGUGAAGCGACUUGCUCGUGGAGCUGAAAUCAGUCGAAGAUACCAGCUGGCUGCAACUGUUUAUUAAAAACACAGCACUGUGCAAACACGAAAGUGGACGUAUACGGUGUGACGCCUGCCCGGUGCCGGAAGGUUAAUUGAUGGGGUUAGCGCAAGCGAAGCUCUUGAUCGAAGCCCCGGUAAACGGCGGCCGUAACUAUAACGGUCCUAAGGUAGCGAAAUUCCUUGUCGGGUAAGUUCCGACCUGCACGAAUGGCGUAAUGAUGGCCAGGCUGUCUCCACCCGAGACUCAGUGAAAUUGAACUCGCUGUGAAGAUGCAGUGUACCCGCGGCAAGACGGAAAGACCCCGUGAACCUUUACUAUAGCUUGACACUGAACAUUGAGCCUUGAUGUGUAGGAUAGGUGGGAGGCUUUGAAGUGUGGACGCCAGUCUGCAUGGAGCCGACCUUGAAAUACCACCCUUUAAUGUUUGAUGUUCUAACGUGGACCCGUGAUCCGGGUUGCGGACAGUGUCUGGUGGGUAGUUUGACUGGGGCGGUCUCCUCCUAAAGAGUAACGGAGGAGCACGAAGGUUGGCUAAUCCUGGUCGGACAUCAGGAGGUUAGUGCAAUGGCAUAAGCCAGCUUGACUGCGAGCGUGACGGCGCGAGCAGGUGCGAAAGCAGGUCAUAGUGAUCCGGUGGUUCUGAAUGGAAGGGCCAUCGCUCAACGGAUAAAAGGUACUCCGGGGAUAACAGGCUGAUACCGCCCAAGAGUUCAUAUCGACGGCGGUGUUUGGCACCUCGAUGUCGGCUCAUCACAUCCUGGGGCUGAAGUAGGUCCCAAGGGUAUGGCUGUUCGCCAUUUAAAGUGGUACGCGAGCUGGGUUUAGAACGUCGUGAGACAGUUCGGUCCCUAUCUGCCGUGGGCGCUGGAGAACUGAGGGGGGCUGCUCCUAGUACGAGAGGACCGGAGUGGACGCAUCACUGGUGUUCGGGUUGUCAUGCCAAUGGCACUGCCCGGUAGCUAAAUGCGGAAGAGAUAAGUGCUGAAAGCAUCUAAGCACGAAACUUGCCCCGAGAUGAGUUCUCCCUGAC
rnacentral:rRNA from 1 species